rnacentral:rRNA from 1 species
GACGAACGCUGGCGGCGUGCUUAACACAUGCAAGUCGAACGGUAAGGCCCUUGGGGGUACACGAGUGGCGAACGGGUGAGUAACACGUGGGUGAUCUGCCCUGCACUUCGGGAUAAGCCUGGGAAACUGGGUCUAAUACCGGAUAGGACCACUGCCUGCAUGGGUGGGGGUGGAAAGCUUUUGCGGUGUGGGAUGGGCCCGCGGCCUAUCAGCUUGUUGGUGGGGUGAUGGCAUACCAAGGCGACGACGGGUAGCCGGCCUGAGAGGGUGACCGGCCACAAUGGGACUGAGAUACGGCCCAGACUCCUACGGGAGGCAGCAGUGGGGAAUAUUGCACAAUGGGCGCAAGCCUGAUGCAGCGACGCCGCGUGAGGGAUGACGGCCUUCGGGUUGUAAACCUCUUUCAGCACCGACGAAGCGCAAGUGACGGUAGGUGCAGAAGAAGGACCGGCCAACUACGAGCCAGCAGCCGCGGUAA